GUACCUGUAGUGUUAAUGUAGCACGACGGUCUCCAAAACCGUUAGUCAGGGUUCGAGUCCCUGCGGGUAUGCCA
rnacentral:tRNA from 1 species